AGAGUUUGAUCCUGGCUCAGAACGAACGCUGGCGGCAGGCUUAACACAUGCAAGUCGAGCGCCCCGCAAGGGGAGCGGCAGACGGGUGAGUAACGCGUGGGAAUCUACCCAUCUCUACGGAACAACUCCGGGAAACUGGAGCUAAUACCGUAUACGUCCUUCGGGAGAAAGAUUUAUCGGAGAUGGAUGAGCCCGCGUUGGAUUAGCUAGUUGGUGGGGUAAUGGCCUACCAAGGCGACGAUCCAUAGCUGGUCUGAGAGGAUGAUCAGCCACAUUGGGACUGAGACACGGCCCAAACUCCUACGGGAGGCAGCAGUGGGGAAUAUUGGACAAUGGGCGCAAGCCUGAUCCAGCCAUGCCGCGUGAGUGAUGAAGGCCCUAGGGUUGUAAAGCUCUUUCAACGGUGAAGAUAAUGACGGUAACCGUAGAAGAAGCCCCGGCUAACUUCGUGCCAGCAGCCGCGGUAAUACGAAGGGGGCUAGCGUUGUUCGGAAUUACUGGGCGUAAAGCGCACGUAGGCGGAUAUUUAAGUCAGGGGUGAAAUCCCGGGGCUCAACCCCGGAACUGCCUUUGAUACUGGAUAUCUGGAGUCCGAGAGAGGUGAGUGGAAUUCCGAGUGUAGAGGUGAAAUUCGUAGAUAUUCGGAGGAACACCAGUGGCGAAGGCGGCUCACUGGCUCGGUACUGACGCUGAGGUGCGAAAGCGUGGGGAGCAAACAGGAUUAGAUACCCCGGUAGUCC
rnacentral:rRNA from 1 species